rnacentral:lncRNA from 1 species
CACCAUAUCGAUUGUAGGGGUGUACCAAGACACCGCUACCCACCAUAUCCAUUGUAGGGGUGUACCAAGACACCGCUACCCACCAGUUCCAGUGUAGGGUGUACCAAGACACCACCACACCCCCAGGUUCGGAGCCACCGACGGGCUCGAACCUACCAACCACGUGCAACACUGCCCAAUCCACACUAAACCUCAGGAUGCCCACUUUCUCCUCCAUCUACCCUCCGAUUUAACCAGGCCAUUCCCAGCUCAGGACUUGACACCUAUAACUCCUGAGCGACCCCCACCACACCGGAAUAAGGCCUGUUGAAUGCCUUCCUGAGUACCCAGGGAGCUUUCCUCCCAAUUCGUUGUGUCUCACUGUUACACCGCCCCCACAUCUGAUAAAUACCGCCAUCAAUUUCUUAUUAAGUCAUCCUCGACACCGAGCUACCAUGGCCGGGUACGUAGUAUGUCUCCAAUGUAACCGAGGAACCAUCUCGGACCGCACCACCACCACACCCGUGGCCAGCUCCCAUAGCCGGUCCACCUCCCUCUGCCUCCACCUGAUCAAUUCCUUUUCCGGGACCAUGCCAAUAUCCAGAAUGUCCUGGACAGUACCCCUUGUUACCAACCGGAAAAUUUUCUCCCCUAAUGUCUUGCCACCAAAAUCCCCGAAAACCAAAACCACUCCUGCUCCACCAAUUCCAAAGGAAAGCCCAGUUGCUUUUGAACUGAAACGCGGCUCCCAUCUGUGCCCCUUAGAUAUAAGAAUGACCCACCAACCAUGUCACCAAACCUGAAACGAAAGUAAUUAGCGACAAGGCAUAGCCCCAAACACAAACCCAUACGUUCAUAGCCAUUAAACCAAAUAGACUGGCCUGAAACAGGACUUAAACCGUACUGACUUCCACCUGCCUAAACGUUUCCCUAGGUCCUCACUUAAAACCAGGCGGGGCGCCUCUGUUACCGCCAUCAUCCGGGAAGAAUGGGUCCCAAAGUGCCCAGGAUCCAAACCCUACAUUUUCAAACCCCUCCGAACAAACACCUGCGGGAAUUGAAUCGUGACAGCACCGAUCUGUCCCCUUUUACCAGUUAGCUACCCAGGAUGUCCGGGCAAAGCUCCAAGCAGCAUGAUGCGCUUAACACCGGGCGUACCCCUGACCCCGGCAGGGAAUAUAGCUUUACCCAACCUCCUUUACCAGACACAUCCGUUCUUGAACAACCCUACUGAAUCGUUACCUUAACCGACUGAGGUUCGACAACCGAGUGUAGAACCCCCCAACACCUGCCCGAAGGCACUCACCAGUUCCCCAAUCCAAAUUGCCCCAAGCCUCCGAGAAGGCCACCGCAAGCAAACUCACUGCAAAAGUAGAGAAAUACACCACCAGGCGUUGCGUUACCCAAGGAAACCCGCCGCCAGGCACCGACAUAUUUCAUACCUCUCCGUAAGACCCGCGAUGCCUGACGGACGUGACAACGUUCCGUCACUUCCUCCCAAUCGGUCAGUUUGAACCCUAACGACAAUGCCGCCAUGCUCCGGUCCAUUGCCGAUGGAGCUAACGCUGAAUGAACAAACGGCUUAGUAACCACAGCAAGGUAUCCCUUCGCCCCUCCUUUGACUGGGCCCCCACAGUGAAACCAACCUCCUUGUCCCACAUAUCUCAAACGUUCACAUAGGCAGUCCCUGUGCCCGGUGCCAUAGGAUUCUGUAUCGAUCCUCCAAGCAUGGCGUCUCGAGCUGCCACAUUUCCUCCAGACCGGACUGUCCCUCCUCCCUGCCCCCUGGGGCCGCCAUUCGCAGCUUGUCCCCUUGUGCGCGAGCCAAGUAACCAGCCCCUACCUUCCGCCAACCAGGCACGUGGCGUGCCUGCACCCGAUACCUGAACAGUGAUACAAAUCGCCGCCAUCGGCGUACCUCCUGAACCGAGGACCCGGCUGGAUGGUAAACCAUAUGAACCCCACCGUAUUGUGCAUGAAUUAUGACUUUUCAUCCCUUAAUACUUCACCUUUUAGAGCCACAGCCACUCCCAAUGGAAAUAACUCAAAAGAUGCCAACUUCGAAUAAGAGUACUUACUUUUCAUGCCUCCCACCACUGCUCUGCGCACCACCUGCCUUCCAGGUAUGCCCCGGAAUCUAUGUUCCAAGAGGAAUCCGUGAACAACGCGAUACCACCCGCAAAGGCUCCACAAGUAGCCUUCGCCAUGAAAUGGCUACCGACCCAGUCCUCGCGACUAACCCGAAAUGCUACUUGAAACUGCCUUAUGAACAACUGCGAUUUCUCAGUGACCUUCUUGGACCUGCGAACCUUCAGCCUGAACUCCCAAAGUGCAGUCAACUGAACCCCAGGCAAUCGGCACUCUCCUACCACCGAAACAAUUUCCAGCCCAAGCAAAGACGUGCGGUAGGAUUCCCGCGACCGUAAGGUAUGUCCACAACGGCCCGGCCCAGCCGAGCCCACACAGCAAGCUAUCUUACAGAUAAUGUACUAAGGAACCCCUUUCUGAUUCCUCUUUCACCUCCCACUCCCAGACGGAUCCAACUUCCCGAAGUAGGAACAUGAAUGGAACUGCCCCUUGGCAAGUAGAGGUUACCAAUAGGAACCUGCAAACAUGCAACCCAAAAGAUGGAAGGGUGGCCAAUAAUCGAACGCGUCCUGUUCCCCCAAACCAACUCGACGGCAAGGCCGAAUGAUGCCAACGAUACAGAACAGUUCCGCGGCGAUGUCCUCAUUUACCAAUGCCCCUUUCGGGUGCGAUAAGUUUUGUAUCGGACGGAAUUUGCCCGCCCAUUUCUAGGGGACCACCCCCAUGGAGACACCCACAGGUCCGCUAAUGGCUCGGAAGUUCCCCCAUGGACUUGAUAUUCGCCCACCACUUUUCCUGGUCCCUCGACUUUGAAUGGAAUAGCGUAAACCCCCUCAACAAUCCCAGCCAUAAAACUAGCGCAUUCAUGGGAGGCUUACUGCCUUAGCCACAGCAGCAAUGCACUGAUCAUCACUGGUGCCGCUCCGAGCCGCUACCGCAGGGCUGAAGCCCUGCCGAGUACCCUUCCUGCCUUAGGUUUUCCUUUCUUGACGCGUCAAUUGACACCGUGACUCCCACCGCCUCCGGAACACCCGUAUCGAAACCUACCCGACGGUCCCCAGUUGCACUGACCUUUCUUCUGUCCAGCCAGCACCGCACCUCCUGGGGGUUCGCCGGCAGCCCCCGGAUAGAGCGCAUUUCCUGCACCAUCAUUAGGAACCACCCCUUUUAAAUCAAUGAACUCCUCGAGCGGAAGACAGGAAUUUUUUUUUUCCCAAUGUCCCAGCGAAGGACACGUACCCAUUUUGUUGCGCCGCGCCUGGAAUAUUGCGACACAUCUAACUGUUCUCCUGCCCCGUCAGAUGUCCCCGGUACCGGUACACCGUAUUCCCCUUCCCUUACCCGGCACGCCGUCACCACCACCCUUACUUCGGCCUCCCGACUGCGCUCUGGUGACCCCACCCUUCCGCACCGCGGGGACGGCCCCUUUUUUCCUUGAUCAUGACUCUAAAAUGAUUUUUGCAAUUUAAAAAAGUGUGGUGUUUAUUGACUCACCGCCUGAACCCCCGUCUGCGCUGUCCUUCCAUCCACCUUGCCAGGCUCUGGAGUAUCCGGUGGAUGCCAACUCCUGUCCGCGCUGGUCCAGCCUCAAAACCGUAGAAGUAACACUCCUCAACCUGCUCCUCCAGCCUUCAUCCAACCUCCCGCUGCUGCUGUGCCUGUCAUUGUCGUUGCGCUGCUCCCUCCCGUACUCACACCUGCUGAUGCUCCUCCUGUGUUCCUGCUCCUGAGAACGCCCCCCAGGGGGCUUCCGCUUGCCUCUGUGCCUUACGUCCAUUUCCACCCGUCCAUGUCCUCUCUUCUGCCCUCUCUCCGGCCGCCUCAUCCACUUGUGGCACCUUUAAUUAAUCCUGGUUGCUGGCCUUCCCCUCCAUAGCUGCUCUGCUGCGCCUGUGAAAACUCCGCCUGCUGCUUUCACUAUCCCCUUCCUUCACCUCUGACCUGACUCUGGCCCCAUCCAGGGCUGCCUCUGUCUGUGUCCCGCCGACCUGGACCCCCCCUGCCUGCCUAUUCGGGGGGGGGACCGCUUUUACACUGCUGGGCCCUUGCAUCAUUUCCCCUGUCCCUCAGGUAUGCCACCAGGGGCAGACUCACCAGGACGCCUCUUGCCGCUCGCCCUGCCUGGCGGCCAUCAUGUCAUGCUGGAUUCCGUUGUCCUUUGUGCUUUCCCGCCCCCCCCCCCCGCCUUAUUGCAGGGGGCGCUCUUCUUGUGCAGCCUCAUCCUGACCUGUCAUCUUGCCUGACCGGUGCCGCGUCGAACAUACGGCGCCAGCCGCCCUCCAACUCCUGCCUGCUUUCCGACCUCAUUUUCAGCCUUCCCCUUGCCGCCUCCUGACAGGCUCACGGGCUGCCGAACUAACAAUGUCACUCACAGGCUGCCGCUGGGGCGUCCUCGCUCUCCUUGCUGGCCUCUGUUCCACCGCCACGUGGGGGGGAGGGGAGGUAUGAGACGUGCUCGGGGCCCCCAGCUGCUCCUGCAGCCACCAGCCACGAUUCUGCCACAACCUUUGUGACCAGGAAGGUGGCUUGCUUGGAGUUCUGUCUGAGGCUGAUGGGAGUGAGCAUGCAGCAGCAGCAGCUCACUCCAGCCUCUCCUGUACCUCCAUGCUGUCUCCUGUACCUCCAUGCUGCCUCUGUUCUUCUAUGCUGCCUCCAUGCUGCUGAUGGGAGUGAUCAUGUAGUAGCAGCUCACUCCAGCCUUUCCUGUAUCUCCAUGCAGGGCCGCCAUCAGGGCAUGACAACCGCAACGGUUGUCAUGGGCCCGGCGGUCCUGGGGGGCCCGGACUGCUCAGGUCGUCCAGGCCCCACAUUCAGUGGGUACAUACCGGGUCGCAGGGGGUCCUGCGACCCGGUAUGUACCCACAGGGCCAGCCUCUUCUCCUGGGAGGCCCAGCAGCCGGUCACCUCGGGCGCCCCCCAGAG